rnacentral:rRNA from 1 species
GACAGAGGGGGCAAGCGUUGCUCGGAAUUACUGGGCGUAAAGGGCGCGUAGGCGGGAUGGCAAGUCGGGUGUGAAAGCCCUCGGCUCAACCGAGGAAGUGCGCCCGAAACUGUGGUGCUGGAGUGUGGGAGAGGUGCGUGGAAUUCCCGGUGUAGCGGUGAAAUGCGUAGAUAUCGGGAGGAACGCCUGUGGCGAAAGCGGCGCACUGGACCAUAACUGACGCUGAUGCGCGAAAGCUAGGGGAGCAAACAGG